CCUACGGGAGGCAGCAGUAGGGAAUAUUGCUCAAUGGGGGAAACCCUGACGCAGCAACGCCGCGUGGAGGAUGAAGGUUUUCGGAUUGUAAACUCCUUUUGUUAGAGAAGAUAAUGACGGUAUCUAACGAAUAAGCACCGGCUAACUCCGUGCCAGCAGCCGCGGUAAUACGGAGGGUGCAAGCGUUACUCGGAGUGACUAGGCGUAAAGAGCGCGUAGGCGGGAUUGCAAGUCAGAUGUGAAAUCCUAUGGCUUAACCAUAGAACUGCAUUUGAAACUGUUGUUCUAGAGUAUGGGAGAGGCAGGUGGAAUUCUUGGUGUAGCGGUAAAAUGCGUAGAGAUCAGGAGGAAUACUCGUGGCGAAGGCGGCCUGCUGGAACGCAACUGACGCUGAGGCGCGAAAGCGUGGGGAGCAAACAGGAUUAGAUACCCGGGUAGUC
rnacentral:rRNA from 1 species